rnacentral:rRNA from 1 species
GGGACACGUGGUAUCCUGUCUGAAUAUGGGGGGACCAUCCUCCAAGGCUAAAUACUCCUGACUGACCGAUAGUGAACCAGUACCGUGAGGGAAAGGCGAAAAGAACCCCGGCGAGGGGAGUGAAAAAGAACCUGAAACCGUGUACGUACAAGCAGUGGGAGCACAGGUUUACCUGUGUGACUGCGUACCUUUUGUAUAAUGGGUCAGCGACUUAUAUUCUGUAGCAAGGUUAACCGUAUAGGGGAGCCGGAGGGAAACCGAGUCUUAAUUGGGCGUUAAGUUGCAGGGUAUAGACCCGAAACCCGGUGAUCUAGCCAUGGGCAGGUUGAAGGUUGGGUAACACUAACUGGAGGACCGAACCGACUAAUGUUGAAAAAUUAGCGGAUGACCUGUGGCUGGGGGUGAAAGGCCAAUCAAACCGGGAGAUAGCUGGUUCUCCCCGAAAGCUAUUUAGGUAGCGCCUCGUGAAUUCAUCUCCGGGGGUAGAGCACUGUUUCGGCUAGGGGGCCAUCCCGGCUUACCAACCCGAUGCAAACUGCGAAUACCGGAGAAUGUUAUCACGGGAGACACACGGCGGGUGCUAACGUCCGUCGUG